AGAGUAUGUUUAGUUAUGGAUUUGGUUUUGGUUCUGUGUCUUGGUUUUAGCUACAGAAAACACAUGGUACUUUAUGGGUUCCGGUGAGUAGAAAAUAGUUGAAUUAAAGUAGAUUUUAAUAUUUUGUUUUAUUUUCUAUUUUUAGGCAUAAUUGUGUAUAUAUGACGCCUAUGUUUAUUCACUGUGUACACCAGUGUUGAAGGUUGAACAAUAAAUUGUGGUUUGAUUCAGUGAGUUGCUACUGAGGCCUGGUAAAGUUUGUGCCAGCAACUGCGGUUAGACAAACAGGCCAAGCUAAGAUUUGUGCAGCAUAAAGUAGGGUUAGGGGUACAAAAGUUUAGUGCUUGGGAGUUUAGGAUGACUUGAGGGGUGCAAUCCUAAGAGUUGUGGUUUUAUCUAAUAUUUCCUAGUUGCCUGAUGCCCUGAAACUCCAGCUAAAAACCGGGAUUUGGUAUCCCGUUAUUCGGAGUGUAAACUUUGGUCUGUAAUCUGCUGGGGUACUACGAGCGUUAGAUUUAUUUUGGCUAGGCUUAAAACUCAAAAAACUUGGCGGUGUUUCAUAUCCUCCCAGGGGAACCUGUCUCAUAAACGAUGAUCCACGUUUUAUCUUACCUCGCUUUGAAACGCUUAGUGUGAAGCGGGUCAGCUUGUAUACCGUCGCCGAUAGAUCACCCUUGAGGGGCUUAAAGUGGUCGGGAAGAGAAGCCAAAAGUUGUAGGUUGUUAUUUUAUUUACGAGUAAUUGUGGCUGAUACUUGUUAUGCUGUGGGGCCUAAGGGUUCUUCAGUCGUUAGCUUCUCAGGAUGCCAGAUCAAGGUGCAGCUUAUGGUGAGGUGAUGAUGGGUUACAAUAACUUAUUUGUUAUACGGAUUUUUCGCUGUAUUUGUUAUACGGAUUUUUCCCUGUAAUGUGGAAUUUAAAGGCGGACUUGGAUGUAAUGUUGAAUUAGGAAGUUAUAGUGAACUAGGUUUUGAGAUGUGUACAAAUCGCCCGUCGCUCUCGUUGAAAAAUGAGAUAAGUCGUAACAUAGUAGGGGUACCGGAAGGUGCCCCUGGAAUAAUGGUUAAU